CCUACGGGUGGCAGCAGUAGGGAAUCUUUCACAAUGGGCGAAAGCCUGAUGGAGCAACGCCGCGUGCAGGAUGAAGGCCUUCGGGUUGUAAACUGCUUUUAUAAGGGAGAAAUAUGAUGGUAACUUAUGAAUAAGGAUCGGCUAACUACGUGCCAGCAGCCGCGGUCAUACGUAGGAUCCGAGCAUUAUCCGGGGUUACUGGGGGUAAAGAGUUGCGUAGGUGGCAUAAUAAGUAGCUAGGGAAAUCUGGUGGCUCAACCAUUCAGACUAUUAGCUAAACUGUUAAGCUCGAGACCGUUAGGGGUAACUGGAAUUGCUAGUGUAGGAGUGAAAUCCGUAGAUAUUAGAAGGAACACCAAUGGCGUAGGCAGGUUGCUGGGACGGUUCUGACACUAAGGCACGAAAGCGUAGGGAGCAAACGGGAUUAGAUACCCUGGUAGUC
rnacentral:rRNA from 1 species